GUGCUCGCUUUAGCAGUACAUAUACUAAAAUUAGAAUGAUACAGAGAUAAACAUGGCCCCUGUAGAAGGAUGACACUCAAAUAAAUGAAGCAUUCCAUAUUUUU
rnacentral:snRNA from 1 species